rnacentral:lncRNA from 1 species
AUGAGUUCGUGUUAGUCCCCCUAUCCCGAUCUGGAUUUUAUGGAUCUUUCAAAAAAAGUUCUUGUUAGGGAUUUGAGUUUUUUCCAUUUAACAUGCUCUCAUGUAGGGUAGUAGCACUCUCUCGGCUGUGGCUGCACGUUCAACUGGCCAGUCAAGGAGCUCCAGCAAGCAGGUCCGCCUACUCUCCUUUCCCCUGAGCUCCUGCAACUACACAAAUCAUCUUCCUGGUAUUUUCUCACUUUUGAUUCACAGACUAUGUAUUGUAGUUAGUUCUGGUGAUUAUCAGUUGAUCUAAGACCACUGUACGUGCAUAUCUCAGACUUGAGAAGAAUGCACAUAGCCUUGCUGAGAACAUAAUAUUGUUUCGAUGAUUAUCUUGUUUGUGCGCUUGUUUUGAUAAAACACAGGGGUUAUAGAGGAAUUGAAACAUGUUACAUUGAAAUCAGAGAGCAUGUCGUUGUUGCUUAAUUCCGUUAAUCUUGGCUGUCACUGUAUACCUUGAGAUUCAGGUAGAAGCAAUAGAAUCCAGGAAAAAAAUACCUACCUGCAUGUGUUCCUUAGAGAGUUUGUUUUCUUCAUACCUCACCAUUCUUAAUAUAUAUGGUCAUCUAUGUUCUGGAUAUCACACUCGACGGCCUCCCUUCAUGGCACAAAACUGAAACUACGCCAUGAAUAUAUUUAUUCAGUGAAAUAGCUGAUUCCAAUCAUUCAUCAACUAGCUUUGUUUUAAUCACAGCAAUAAGUCAUGAUAUCUUGAAAUUGCCUGAUUGGUGAUUAUACAUUUUAUAUGAUGUUUUUCACCUGCAAGCUCUGCACUUCUUUCCUUUCAACUUUAUCUCUCUUGCUUUAUUUCAUGAAUAUAUUCCUCUUCUCAUUCCAUCAUUCAGUCUGUUUGCAACAAAAUCCUGAUUCAUAGUCUGUUUUUUUUUAAUGCUUGGCACAUCCUAAACAAAAUCCUGAUUAAACGAUAGGCUUGGCAUAUCUUUUUUUAUCACUAUGGUUGCUUUUAUCCGCAACUGAUUUCUCUGAUUCCUUUCCCAUGCUGUAAUGCAAUUGUUUUGGGCAAUUCCCCAAGGCCUUAUGUUUUAUGUUAUUGGGAACUGCAGGACACCCAGCGAGUGUUUAGGAUCCCACACACGACAGUUCUUGGCAUGCUCCUGGCACACCUUGGACUAUCACCGGCUCAGUAUGAACGCGUUGUUCAUGAGGACGGCAAGACCCAUGUUGUAAAUUGUCUGUAAGCGACGUGUUGCCGUAUCUUCUAUGCCUAAAACGUCUGUAAGCGACGUGUUGUCGUAUCUUCUAUGCCUAAACGCGUCUAUGUUAUGCCUAAAACUUAAAGUUAUCUAUGCAUAGUUGUAAAUUGUCUUUAAGCGACGUGUUGUCGUAUCUUCUAUGCCUAAGAUAUUUGGUGCUAACCUAUCGUGAAACAUGAUUUCUAUGUUCAUGCAUUGUUAAGUAGCUUCUUAU